GGUUGCUACAGCAGCCCAUAUACUAAAAUUGGAACAGCACAGAGAAGAUAAACGUGGCCCCUUGCACCAAGAUAAUGUGCAAAUUUGUAAAGCAUUCCAUAAUAAA
ensembl:snRNA U6 U6 spliceosomal RNA